GCAUUGCCCUCAACAGCCGUUUCUUUUUAGCAUGGUCUGCUCUUGGAGGACAGACCUCUGUAACUGAAUUCUAGAACCCUUAUAAUUUGUUCCUGUAACAGUGCCUGUUAAUAGUUUUAGUAUUUCCAUUUAUUGGUAUUCUUAUAGACCCAUCAGAAUUGCCUUAAAAAGAUACUGUCCUGAUUUUUAUGAUACCUAAUUUUCCUAAAAAAGAGUCGCUGUGGAAAAAGUUGCUGUGAGAAAAGUCCUAAAAAUCCUCAACUUUUUAGAAUUGUCACCACAAAAACACAGACUUGAAAUCCUGUGAAAUCUCCGAGACAAGAGAAAGAACUUCAAAGAAAGCGAAGAGACCUCUUCCAUUGACUUCUACAUGAACUCAGCAAGUUUAAUCUGGCUUAUUCAGAUUUUUAGUGGUUCAGAAGCAUAGUAAAUCUCUGAAAAGUUGCAGUGUUUUUUCGUAGCCUAAUAAAAAUGUACAGGUGGUACUAAAUACUAUUCUAUGGGCCCUCACCUUUUAUCUGUAGAGACACUAAAUAUAUCUACACUUCUCAUUUUGGUUUCCUGUCAGCAUGAACUGUGGUAUCUGUUUUCUUGUAUAUGUUUGAAUUUAGACUGGGCUAUCUUCAGAUAAUUUUUUUAAGCUUUCAUGUAUAAGUGCAAACCUAUGUAAGUUUGUUUAUUUUCUGUAUUCUUUAUGUCAAUGAAAUUGGUAAUUUUGUUCCAUA